rnacentral:tRNA from 1 species
UCCACAGUAGCUCAGUGGUAGAGCUAUAGGAUGUUACACGAUCAGUCGUAGGUUCUAGUACUACCUGUGGUGCUA